rnacentral:rRNA from 1 species
AAUCCGGAUAAUCAAGGCUGAGGUGUGAUGACGAGGCACUACGGUGCUGAAGUAACAAAUGCCCUGCUUCCAGGAAAAGCCUCUAAGCAUCAGGUAACAUUAAAUCGUACCCCAAACCGACACAGGUAGUCAGGUAGAGAAUACCAAGGCGCUUGAGAGAACUCGGGUGAAGGAACUAGGCAAAAUGGUGCCGUAACUUCGGGAGAAGGCACGCUGGUGUGUAGGUGAAGUCCCUGCGGAUGGAGCUGAGACCAG